GCCUGAAUAAAAUGAUGUAGAAACGGAUG
rnacentral:piRNA from 1 species